GGUCACACAGCUAGUGUCAGGCCAGAUUGGAACUGAGGAAGAAAAUUCUUUCUGACUCCAGGUCUGGUACUCAUCUAUUGUCCCUUUAGCUGUCCUCUUGUACUUUUAUAGUAAUAUAAAUAUCUAAGAAAUAGGAUUAUAAUUGACAAAAUUACAACUAGAUGACUAUCAGUUUGCUAAAGAGAAAUGGCCCUCAAUUUAUAGAAUGUGUUCCAAAAGUUUGUGUUAUUCUGUCAGUAGAAAAAAUAUCUGAAAUUAUUGGUAGGAGACCUGGCCAGACCUCAAAAAUCUUAUCUCGAAUUUAUAAUAUACCAGAACUAACUCAAAUUGUUAAUCCCUUAGAACAGUCAUGGAGUAUAAGAAUAAGAAGUUUUUUCCUACCUCAUUCCUGGUUGAAAGAUCAGCUCUAUUUAGAAAAAGUUACUAGAUUCAUUGUGAUCCACAACCCAAAGGAGAGGCUUCAUCCAUUAAGUUCCUAGUCAUAGCAUUAAUAAAUAAUAGUGUACACUCCAGAAUCAACUUUCUGCAGCACCAUCAGAAAAGACUAUUACCAUCUUUAGGUUAUCAUUAAGGAAGAACAACUUUUAGAGAACAAUGUAAUUUUGAUAGUAAAAUGAUAAUGAAUAGAAAAGGUAGAAUUAGCUGUUUUGUAGUAUUAUGAAAGGAGUUCAUAAUAUGAAAGAAUUCAAUUUAAAAUCAUUUUCCUGUUUGCUUGCUCUAAAAUUUUGCAGAAUUAAUUAUAAUGGUCAGAAUAUUUUGAAGUUCUAAAGCUUCUCCAGGAUAAUAGCACUUCAGAUCAAGUUUGUGCAGCAUACCAGUUGAGUUACCUUCAGUGAGAGAGAAUUAUAUUAUUUGUUAAAUCCUCCUACUUAGUUGAGAAACAACUGCUUUUGUGAUGUUGGGGAAAUGGCAUCUAUUCCAUAAAAGACAAUUUUUUUUUACAUAUGCCUCAUUUAUUUUGUCUUUCAAUAAAGUAUUAAUUUACAAAUAACUAAAUUUUGUGUUCAAGUUUAUCUUUAAAUGUUUUUGUAACAUGUGUGUUGACAUUUUUGGGAAGCUCUUAGAGCUUAGAGGCGGUAAAGAUCUUGGAAAUCAUAGCCUCAGCUUUCCUUUUUUAAACCGAAUGGGAUCCAAGAGUAAAGAGACCUUACCACAGUCAUAAAACAAGACUGUAGUUGCCAAGAUUUAUGGCCACCAACCCAGUAGGUUCUUCUGUAUAGCUGUAUGAUAGAAAAGAAGAAAACAGGAAUGGUGAAUAUCUUCAAUGUAUGCAAAUAUAUGCCUAUCCAAAGAGUGAAAGUCACUGUUCUUUUUGGACUAGGGAUUAAUAUUCUUUUGGGGCUCAGGUCUGUGGAAUAUAAACAUAAUGUCUUUCCUUUUUUUUGCCUCAAGAAAGGUAUUGAGUUCUGUCACUGGAAAUGUUCAUUUAAAGAUUCUGCAAGCUUGUCUUAUGUACUUUAAGUAAUUCACAUAUUAAAUAAGCAAAUGGACUUGACUUUAAGGAUACCUUCUUACUGAGAUUAUGAUGCUUUGGAUACCUCACAAUUCUCCCAUGGUGCUUGACUACAGUCUACUCAUUACCAUUCUUCAUACUUUAAAAACUCCAUACAUAAGUCCAUGGUUCUUGCUGGUAUCAACUUCAUUCAGAAAUUGUAAACAAAAAUGAAAAAAAAAAAAAAAAA